GUAUCAUGUCAUGUGCAUAAACAUAGGUGUUCAAUAAAUAUUUUUUUGAAUUGUGGCACCAAAAUAAUCCUGUAUAAAAUAACAUAAUGCCCCCACACAUACAUCCUCCUUUAAUCUAAAUGCCACCAAAAAUAGCCCUCCAAAACAAGAUACAAUAUUUAAUCUGUUAUUGAAAUAAAGAAAUACAUACAACUGUAUUAAUAUAAACAAGAAAAUUUUUCUCAGGCAGGCUUUACGCUGGCUCAAAAUAAAACUUCAACUGAUGCCAUUGAUAUGUAAUGCAGAUGCUUCAUGCCAGAUGAAGUAUUUGAAAUAGGAAAACAGUGAAUUUGUGAUUGUUCACAUUCAACUUUGAAUACAGAUAUCUUAAGUACUAAGCUUUUUUAUACAGCCCUUUUCUCUUGGCAAGAUUAUUUCAUCUCCUCAAAACAUAUUCAAACAAUUUAAUAAUGUAAUAUGAUGUAAUGUAAUGUCCUUAAACAAUACCAGAGUGUAUGAAAGACAAUAUAAUACAAUAAUGGGGUCCCUGUAACGACUCCAGCCCUGACUUGCAAAUGACCUAAGUAUAUCAUUAUAUAUAACACAAACUAUUUGUACUAUAUGUUUCUAAAACUUCAUGAGAAAAAGACAUAUCAUGCCUCUAUAAAAAUAUCCUUUUCUCGUUAAGAAUAUUUGUCGUUGAAAAAUUAAUAAUUUUUUUGAGAACUGAAUUUUUGGACUUUUUUAGGCAAACAUUGAGAAAGCUGGAUAGCGGGAAUAUGGGUUUUUAUCAAUUCUAAAUAUUUAAGAUUUUAUGAAAGUUAGAACAAGGGAAGCAACUAAUUCCUAUAGUGAAGUAGAAGUACCUGGUGGAGACUAGAAAAGAAAGACUAACAGAAUCUAGGUUAAGAGUGAGGUGUAUUAGGGAGAAAAAACCCUAUCAGCUUAGCAUCAAUUCUUUUUUCACAUUCUACUGACAAUUCUCAAUGAUACUGAAUUUGGUUAUAUGUAUUCUCAUUGGAAGCUAAAUUUUUGUUUACCAUUUUAGACAGCAGUGCAGCACCUCUAGUGAAAUACCCUCUUAUCCUAUUGGGAAGGGUCUCAAGUAUGACUUCUUCAGGCCUUUUUUCCUUAGUCAUGAUUUUAAGAGCCCACCAAAAUGUCCACCCUCUCCUUACUGAGGUUGCCUAAGCAGGAUAACUUUAAAGUUCAGCCCCUAAUCUGAUAGUAUGCAUGCCUAAACUUCACUGUAGAGAAACUCGAAGGGUUAUUAUUAGAAGUUUAUUGCGAGGUUGGAGAAGUCAGUAACUUUAUAAUUUCAACCGUUUUCUGAGAGCCUCUGAGACACUGUCUUAGACAAGUAUGGUGUAUAAAACAUUGGUAUAUGAUUUCUCAUCUCAAAUAGCAUAGUAAGACAUAGCCUGGCUUUGCUUCACCAAUAUUAAAGGCAGAAGUACAACACAGGGAUAGAGUACAGACACUGAAGCCAAGGUAAGGUUCAAAUGCUUCAUUGUUUCUAAGCCUCAGUUUCCAUACCCAUAAAAUGGUGUUAAUGAUACUUAGCUCAUGGGGCCACUAAAAGAUUAAGUUGGCUGGACGCAGUGGCUCAUGCCUGUAAUCCCAGCACUUUGGGAGGCUAAGGCAGGCGGAUCACCUGAGGUUGGAAGUUCGAGACCAGCCUGACCAACAUGGAGAAUCCCUGUAUCUAUUAAAAAUAAAAAAAAUUAGCCAGGCUUGGUGGUGCAUGCCUGUGAUCCCAGCUACUCAGAAGGCUGAGGCAGGAGAAUCACUUGAACCCAGGAGGUUGAGGUUGUGGUGAGCCCAGAUCACACCAUUGCACUCCAGCCUGGGCAACAAGAGUGAAACUCCAUCUCAAAAAAAAAAAAGAAAAAAAAAA
ensembl:lncRNA